UGGGGAAUAUUGCACAAUGGGGGAAACCCUGAUGCAGCCAUGCCGCGUGUGUGAAGAAGGCCUUCGGGUUGUAAAGCACUUUCAGUGGGGAGGAAAGGGUGUUGGCUAAUAUCCAACAUCUGUGACGUUACCCACAGAAGAAGCACCGGCUAACUCCGUGCCAGCAGCCGCGGUAAUACGGAGGGUGCAAGCGUUAAUCGGAAUUACUGGGCGUAAAGCGCACGCAGGCGGUUGGAUAAGUCAGAUGUGAAAGCCCCGGGCUCAACCUGGGAACUGCAUUUGAAACUGUCUGGCUAGAGUCUUGUAGAGGGGGGUAGAAUUCCAGGUGUAGCGGUGAAAUGCGUAGAGAUCUGGAGGAAUACCGGUGGCGAAGGCGGCCCCCUGGACAGAGACUGACGCU
rnacentral:rRNA from 1 species